rnacentral:tRNA from 1 species
GGAAAUGUGUCUGAGCGGCCUAAGGUGCACGACUCGAAAUCGUGUGAGGGAAACCUCCAGGGGUUCAAAUCCCCUCAUUUCCG